rnacentral:rRNA from 1 species
AUGAGUGCACUUGCCUAUGUGUUGCGAGUGAAGAGGGACACAAACACGAUUUAUAAUCUAGUGGCAAUGAGAAAUUUUUAUGGCAGGGAUUUCAUUUGUUGGCGUCCCGAGUAUUAUGCCCAGCUUUCUCUAUUGUAUGUGUCAUCAUAUCAAACUCACACAAGAAUUGUUCAUCUUUUCACAGAUAGGAUGGUAGCAUUUCAAAUCUGGUUGUCCUUCCUAAGUUUUAAAACUCCAAAGCAUGUGACACAGCACAAAAUUAUCCAAUGCUCAUGGUUAUCAUGCAUUUACAUCAUGGAUCAACGUCAAGGAACUCUAACUCAGCAGCCAAGAUCGAGCCAGCCAGAAUCAGGAUGCUUUGUGUCGGUACCACUAAAUGAGCUAUUAACAGUGCUUUAG